GGACUGUCCACAAGACAGUCC
rnacentral:misc_RNA from 1 species